UUGAACGCUGGCGGCAUGCCUUACACAUGCAAGUCGAACGGCAGCAUGGAGAGCUUGCUCUCUGAUGGCGAGUGGCGAACGGGUGAGUAAUACAUCGGAACGUGUCCGUUUGUGGGGGACAACCGUCCGAAAGGAUGGCUAAUACCGCAUGAGACCUGAGGGUGAAAGCCGGGGACCGCAAGGCCCGGCGCAGACGGAGCGGCCGAUGAUUGAUUAGCUAGUUGGGGAGGUAAAGGCUCACCAAGGCGACGAUCAAUAGCUGGUCUGAGAGGACGACCAGCCACACUGGAACUGAGACACGGUCCAGACUCCUACGGGAGGCAGCAGUGGGGAAUUUUGGACAAUGGGGGAAACCCUGAUCCAGCCAUGCCGCGUGCGGGAAGAAGGCCUUCGGGUUGUAAACCGCUUUUGUCAGGGACGAAAAGCUCCGGAGUAAUAUGCCGGAGUGCUGACGGUACCUGAAGAAUAAGCACCGGCUAACUACGUGCCAGCAGCCGCGGUAAUACGUAGGGUGCAAGCGUUAAUCGGAAUUACUGGGCGUAAAGCGUGCGCAGGCGGUUGGGUAAGACAGAUGUGAAAUCCCCGGGCUUAACCUGGGAACUGCAUUUGUGACUGUCCGACUGGAGUACGUCAGAGGGGGGUGGAAUUCCACGUGUAGCAGUGAAAUGCGUAGAUAUGUGGAAGAACACCGAUGGCGAAGGCAGCCCCCUGGGACGCAACUGACGCUCAUGCACGAAAGCGUGGGGAGCAAACAGGAUUAGAUACCCUGGUAGUCCACGCCCUAAACGAUGUCUGCUGGUUGUUGGGAAUUUAAUUCUCAGUAACGAAGCCAACGCGUGAAGCAGACCGCCUGGGGAGUACGGUCGCAAGAUUAAAACUCAAAGGAAUUGACGGGGACCCGCACAAGCGGUGGAGCAUGUGGUUUAAUUCGAAGCAACGCGAAGAACCUUACCAAGUCUUGACAUCCUUCUGACCGGUACUUAACCGUACCUUCUCUUCGGAGCAGGAGUGACAGGUGGUGCAUGGUUGUCGUCAGCUCGUGUCGUGAGAUGUUGGGUUAAGUCCCGCAACGAGCGCAACCCUUGUCAUCAGUUGCUACGAAAGGGCACUCUGAUGAGACUGCCGGUGACAAACCGGAGGAAGGUGGGGAUGACGUCAAGUCCUCAUGGCCCUUAUGGCUGGGGCCUCACACGUCAUACAAUGGUCGGAACAGAGGGCAGCGAAGCCGCGAGGUGAAGCCAAUCCCAGAAAACCGAUCGUAGUCCGGAUUGCAGUCUGCAACUCGACUGCAUGAAGUCGGAAUCGCUAGUAAUCGCGGAUCAGCAUGCCGCGGUGAAUACGUUCCCGGGUCUUGUACACACCGCCCGUCACACCAUGGGAGUGGGGUUCACCAGAAGACGUUUGCCCAACCGCAAGGAAGGCGGCGCCCACGGUGGGUUUCAUGACUGGGGUG
rnacentral:rRNA from 1 species